rnacentral:snRNA from 1 species
GCUCUCUGGUAUCUUCUCAUUUGCGGAUAAAUAUUUCGCCUUUUACUAACUAUUUCCUUGCGGAGGCAUAACACAAUGAGUCGGAACUCAUUUUUUGCAACCCCAACCGUAGGAAG